AGAGUUUGAUCCUGGCUCAGAGCGAACGCUGGCGGCGUACUUAACACAUGCAAGUCGAACGAGGAUCUUCGGUGUAGCAAUACAUUGGCGGUCCUAGUGGCGCACGGGUGAGUAACACGUGGGUGACCUGCCCUGGAGUUCGGGAUACCCCCUCGAAAGGGGGGCUAAUACCGGAUACGUUCCUCGGUUGAAAGAUCGGGGAGGAAAGGUGGCGCAAGCUACCGCUCUUGGAGGGGCUCGCGGCCUAUCAGCUAGUUGGCGGGGUAACGGCCCACCAAGGCUAUGACGGGUAGCUGGUCUGAGAGGACGACCAGCCACACGGGGACUGAGACACGGCCCCGACUCCUACGGGAGGCAGCAGUGGGGAAUUUUCCGCAAUGGGCGAAAGCCUGACGGAGUGACGCCGCGUGUGGGACGAAGGCCUUCGGGUCGUAAACCACUGUCAGUGGGAAAGAUGGGUGUCGGGGUUAAUACCUCCGGCAUCUGACGGUACCUGCAGAGGAAGCCCCGGCCAACUCUGUGCCAGCAGCCGCGGUAAGACAGAGGGGGCAAGCGUUGCUCGGAAUUACUGGGCGUAAAGGGCGCGUAGGCGGGAUGGCAAGUCGGUCGUGAAAUCCCUCGGCUCAACCGAGGCACGUCGAUCGAUACUGUUGUUCUUGAGGAUUGCAGAGGAGACUGGAAUUCCCGGUGUAGCGGUGAAAUGUGUAGAGAUCGGGAGGAACACCGGUGGCGAAGGCGGGUCUCUGGGCAAUUCCUGACGCUGAGGCGCGAAAGCGUGGGGAGCAAACGGGAUUAGAUACCCCGGUAGUCCACGCUGUAAACGAUGAGCACUAGGUGUGGGGGGGUUCAGUCCCUUCCGUGCCGCAGCUAACGCAUUAAGUGCUCCGCCUGGGGAGUACGGCCGCAAGGUUGAAACUCAAAGGAAUUGACGG
rnacentral:rRNA from 1 species